rnacentral:lncRNA from 1 species
GCCUUUCUUCUUUAGUCUCCUCAACAUUAAAAACUCCUUCGCCAUUUUUGAGCUCACCACUCCCAUUGCUUAAUUACUUCUCCAAACCAAAAUUUUCAGGAAUACUCUCAAACUUGAUCACCAAUUUCUCAGUUUUGUUCUUGUUUUCUUUCUCCAGGGUUUGUCUCUUGAUCAGAAAAAAAAGACUGCACUGCGCCAGCUGUGUGAGUUAUAUAUUUCAUCUAAAAUUGUAUCUUUAUUUCCGAUCAUGUUCUAACUGUGAUUUGUUUGAUUUUGUUUUCAGUUUCAAUAUUUUUGAGCUUUUUGGCAAUCAGAAUUAAUACUUUUUCUUCUUUGUUUUUUGUCUUUCUUUCGGUUGUUUGACAUCUGUUCUUUUUUUUUAUUCGAUAAUUUCUUUGAAUCCCUCGUUUUUUCCAUCUCUUAUAUUUCAGUCUGUUGCUGUCUAUCUUUUGUAACAGUUUUGGGAAAUUGUCGAUGGUUUGGCGUGUCUGCGGUGCGAACGAAAAUAUUUUCUCAAAAAUGAUUUUUAAAUUUUCAUGUUCGACUGAUUUAAUUUUUUUUUCCCAGGAUCUCAUUUUCAUUUAAUUGGUAAAAAGUAUUUUCUUUUCAAGUGAAGAAAAAUAAUUUCUAAAACUUUUUUUUCCAUAUUUCAUAUCCUAUUCUCCAACCCUACUAACUCAGCUCACUCUAAAUAAAAAUAUUAUUGAUAAUAUUUUUUUUUGUUAUAAAUAGAGUACUUUUUCUAUUAUAACAAAUGAGUAUUUUUCUUUUUAUGUAUAAAAAAUAUUUUUUUAUGAUGUAAAAAAUAGUAUUUUUUUCAUUUUAACAAAAUGAAUACUUUAUUUUCGCAAUGUAGACAGAGUACUUCUUUUUUUAUUUCUUUUUAGUUAUCGAGUAUAAAUUUUAAUGUUAUUUUUAAGUAAAAAGUAAAGCAACAAAUUAGUUUUUUUGUGUUUGUGUGAAUUUUUAAUAAGAAUAAUUAAAUUUUUGAAUUUGGAGGAGGAGGGGGAGCACAGAAACAUAGGGACUUGGGGGAAGAGAAAUUUUUUAUUUUGUAUCUUAUGUAACUGAUACUAUUUGAAUGAGACAACCUUUUUGUCUCACAAUCUUGUGAAUUCAAAAGUGUAAGAUUGAGGUCCACAUAUUUAUAAGUCAAAAGGAGCCUUAUACAACUCGUGUCAGUUGUAUGAGACACAAAAUAAAACUUCUCAGGGAAGAGGGUGAAGAGCUAAGGAGAGUAGCAUAAAAAUUAUUAUUCGAAAAAAUAUUUUCUACUCUCGAACCAAACAUUAAAAAAUAUUUUUCGGAAAAUUUUUUCACUUGCCAAUCAAACAAGAAAAAUAAGUGAUAAAAUCACUCAUUUUUCAUAAAACUGUUAUGAAAUAAUAUAAAAGACAAGAACAAUAAUGCAAGAACAAGAGCAAUAGA